rnacentral:lncRNA from 1 species
CUAGGCAUUCCAUUAAAUCUCUGUAAUGCAAUUAAUGUAGAAGGAAACAAAUUUUCCAUGAACAUGAAAACAUCACGUUUAGAAUAUUUAGUUUAAAACUGUCUGUGAUUUGAUGAUAACAUUGUUUACCUUCAUUCAAACCUGUGAUUGUAUCUUUAUUCAGUAGUUUUUGUGGGUUUGAAAAAGUUGAGUCCCUUUUCUCCUUUUCAGCUUGUUUUCAGAAUUUGAAAAACGGAGAUACAAAGGGAGCUGUGGCAGCUGAAUUCUCUUUCAUGUGUGUCCAGUCCAGGUGAAGCCCAGCAUAAUGUACUGUAAUAUGUCUCUUCAAUUCUCUGAUACAAUGACCUGUGCAUCCUCUAAAUCCCCCACAGAAUGCACAGACACAGACUGAUUGAGUCCACAGGAGCAGGAGGAGUCCCAGGGAGUCUUGGGCAGUUUUUUACCAUCUUUAUCCUUGUGGAGAAUCACAGCCCACACGCAAAGAUGAUGUGCAAAUUCAUGAGGCACUCCAUGGCAGCUGUGAACAUGUGUGUCAAGGUAUGUUAAUUUUAAAAUGACAAUUGCUCUAUCUAUCCCUCAACAGUCCUUAGAGUUAUCC